AAAUCACAAACUAAUUAGUAAAGCAAUGGAUUACAUGGAGAAAAAAAUUCAAAAUAUCUUACAGCUAAAAACAAAUUAUAAGGUCGCACACAGAAUGAGCUCAUGCCAAAUCUAUUGGUAUAUAAGACCAGAACUUAAAAAUUUUGAAAAGAAGGGAGGAUAGGAUCCAUCAAGCAACCAGAAGAACACACCCAAAAGAAGGAAAUUAGGAGGAUAAACAUGGUCUGGAACUCUAUAAUUAUGUAAAAACCUGCCCCACCCAAAAAAACAAAGGAGGGAUUAUAAAGAUUAAACUGAAUGGAAACAAUUAAAAAAUAAAUCAAUAUUCAAAAGUGAUAGUCCACCAAAUUGGUUUGAACAAUCAUAAAACAGAUAAAUAGUAAGAAAAACAGAGCAACUGAAAGAAAUACACAGAAAGCACCACAUGCUAUGAUAUUCAACCCACUUCUGCCACUGAUUUAAUUUGUUUCAGGGAAAUGACAGCAAACUAUCUCAUCCAAUGUCCUGUGUAAAGAUCUUCACAGUGAUAUCCUUUUUCACUAAUUCUUUUCUGUUUGUUACCAUUAAAAUAACAAUUUAUAAAAUAGUUGAUAAAGACAUGAAAUUUCCAGCCUUUUCACUUCUCAUCCUUGUCACAUCCCCACCAAACUCUUACCAUUAUUAAUUAAUCAAUAUUCACGGUGCUAACAAACUGUAUAUUGCAACAUUCACUCUAAGAUCAUUCCUAAUCAAUAAGCAACUGGUAUCAAGCAGGGUUUAAGCAUCAAUUGAGAAGUGAUCGAUCAGUUGGCUCUCUUCCAUGAUCAGUCUGACCAUUUUGAACAAACAGUGCAACAGCUAUUUCCAACAAUUUUAUACAUACACACAAAGAUCAGAGAAUUUUUCUCAUAUUGAGCCCUAUGAAAAUAUUAUUCAAUGACUACACACAACGAGGGAACCAUGAAAAAGCAAAUCAAUUCCU